AGAUUGAACGCUGGCGGCAGGCCUAACACAUGCAAGUCGAGCGGUAGAGAGGUGCUUGCAUCUCUUGAGAGCGGCGGACGGGUGAGUAAUGCCUAGGAAUCUGCCUAGUGGUGGGGGAUAACGUUCGGAAACGGACGCUAAUACCGCAUACGUCCUACGGGAGAAAGCGGGGGACCUUCGGGCCUCGCGCCAUUAGAUGAGCCUAGGUCGGAUUAGCUAGUUGGUGAGGUAAUGGCUCACCAAGGCGACGAUCCGUAACUGGUCUGAGAGGAUGAUCAGUCACACUGGAACUGAGACACGGUCCAGACUCCUACGGGAGCAGCAGUGGGGAAUAUUGGACAAUGGGCGAAAGCCUGAUCCAGCAAUGCCGCGUGCAGGAUGAAGGCCUUCGGUGUAAACUGCGUUUAGUACGGAACGAAACGGUUCUCGUCUAAUUACAGGGGCUAAGUGACGGUAACCGUAAGAAUAAGCACCGAUAACUACGUGCCAGCAGCGACGUAACG
rnacentral:rRNA from 1 species